GUGUCAGCCGCCGCGGUAAUACGUAGGUGGCGAGCGUUGUCCGGAAUCAUUGGGCGUAAAGAGCGCGUAGGUGGUUUGUCAGGUCUGAUGUGAAAUCCCGUGGCUCAACUGCGGAACUGCAUCGGAAACCGGCUUACUAGAGUCUGGGAGAGGAGAGUGGAAUUCCUGGUGUAGCGGUGAAAUGCGUAGAUAUCAGGAGGAACACCGGUAGCGAAGGCGGCUCUCUGGAACAGUACUGACACUGAGGCGCGAAAGCUAGGGGAGCGAACAGGAUUAGAAACCCCCGUAGUCC
rnacentral:rRNA from 1 species